rnacentral:lncRNA from 1 species
AGUGAUGGUGGUGGCAGUUUCAUUCAGAGAGGCAUCAACGCCUUCAUAGUCAGAUGUCCGAAUGAAGUGCCCUUGACCUCAGGAGACGAGAGGAAAGGCUUGCUAAGCUACACGAGAACACAAUAUAGAACUGAAUGUCUGGAAUGUGUUAUGGCCAAGCCAGGACCACGAGCCUUCCAGAUUCUGCAUUCCUCACUGGCUUACCUGAGAUAUUUGUGGUCACGUUGAUGGCUGUGGCUGGCCCGAAGCCUUUGACGGUGCUGGCUCUUAUGAAGAACUGGGAACAUGGCAAGUUCUAGCAACACUUAGCAGCACAGGGAAGAAAAUCAAGAUAGCAAAGUAUAUGAAAGGAGAAAACCAAGGGAAAUUGCACUGUUAACAAGCGAGUGGAUAAAAAUAAAUGACAAUAUAAAACGC